AGAGUUUGAUCAUGGCUCAGAAUCAACGCUGGCGGCGUGCCCCAGACAUGCAAGUCGAACGCGAAAGCUCCCUUCGGGGAGCAAGUAGAGUGGCGCACGGGUGAGUAACACGUAGGUAAUCUACCUUUGGAUGGGGAAUAACAACCGGAAACGGUUGCUAAUACCGCAUAAUGCAGCGGCACCUAAUGGUGACAGUUGUUAAAGCGGGGGAUCGCAAGACCUCGCGUCUGAAGAGGAGCCUGCGGCAGAUUAGCUAGUUGGUAAGGUAACGGCUUACCAAGGCGAUGAUCUGUAGCCGGCCUGAGAGGGCGGUCGGCCACACUGACACUGACAUACGGGUCAGACUCCUACGGGAGGCAGCAGUCGGGAAUUUUGGGCAAUGGGCGAAAGCCUGACCCAGCAACGCCGCGUGAAGGAUGAAAUCCCUCGGGAUGUAAACUUCGCAAGAACGGGAAGAAUAAGUAAGGGUUAAUAUCUCUUACGAUGACGGUACUGUUUGUAAGCUCCGGCUAACUCCGUGCCAGCAGCCGCGGUAAUACGGGGGGAGCAAGCGUUGUUCGGAUUUACUGGGCGUAAAGGGCGCGUAGGCGGCCACCGCAAGUCGACUGUGAAAUCUCCGGGCUUAACCCGGAAAGGUCAGCCGAUACUGCGGGGCUAGAGUGCAGAAGGGGCAACUGGAAUUCUCGGUGUAGCGGUGAAAUGCGUAGAUAUCGAGAGGAACACCUGCGGCGAAAGCGGGUUGCUGGGCUGACACUGACGCUGAUGCGCGAAAGCUAGGGGAGCGAACGGGAUUAGAUACCCCGGUAGUCCUAGCCUUAAACGAUGAAUGCUUGGUGUCUGGGGUUUUAUAGUCCCCGGGUGCCGUCGCUAACGCUUUAAGCAUUCCGCCUGGGGAGUACGGUCGCAAGACUGAAACUCAAAGGAAUUGACGGGGACCCGCACAAGCGUG
rnacentral:rRNA from 1 species